GAUGAACGCUGGCGGCGUGCUUAACACAUGCAAGUCGAGCGAGAAGUUUUGAAAAGAUUCUUCGGAUGAAAUUUAAAAUGGAAAGCGGCGGACGGGUGAGUAACGCGUAGGCAACCUGCCCCAUACAAAGGGAUAGCAUUUGGAAACGAAUAUUAAUACCUUAUGAAACUUAACUAGUGCAUGCUAGGUAGGUCAAAGAUUUAUCGGUAUGGGAUGGGCCUGCGUCGGAUUAGCUAGUUGGUGAGGUAACGGCUCACCAAGGCGACGAUCAGUAGCCGACCUGAGAAGGUGAACGGCCACAUUGGAACGGAGACACGGUCCAAACUCCUACGGGAAGCAGCAGUGGGGAAUAUUGCACAAUGGGGGAAACCCUGAUGCAGCAACGCCGCGUGAACGAUGAAGGCCUUUGGGUCGUAAAGUUCUGUUCUAGGUGAUGAAAACUGACAGUAACCUAGGAGAAAGCCCCGGCUAACUCCGUG
rnacentral:rRNA from 1 species